rnacentral:lncRNA from 1 species
CGGAAGCUCGUUUACAUCAGAGUACAACAAGCUACCAGAUUAAUGGCUGCCUAAAACUACCUGAACCAGACCACACCAAGAAAAAUGCUAACAUGCCAAGAGGAAAGACCAUCAGGCCUCAACACUAGACAAAGAACAUUGAAGGGCCACUAAGGAAUGCCAAGUGUGAGGAAUAAAGUCUACUACAGGGAAGGGGACAACAACUGGUUAUCUUAUCAAAAUGCAAGCCCUUAAGUAACAUUUUAUGGAUUGAUCAGGUCUGGUGUUGAAGCACCAGGUGUAAAAAGCUCUCUGUCACUGAUGCGUUAAAAGACUCAGUGUUCUACUCCUUUCCAAGAAUUGCUCAACUAUGUGGUUUGCUCAGAGCAUGAGAUAUUUUCAAUCUCAGAAGUAACCAUGAGAAUUCAAUGGAUCUCUACAGUGCCAUUAUCAUGGUACAUUAUACUGUUUGCAAUUUUCUUGGGGAAACUUGAAAAUG